UCUCGUUGCCCAAUAUUAGUUUACAUUUGUAGGACAUGCCCGACUUGCAUCCCAUUGGAUCUCGCCGUCACUUACGAUGAACGUGACAUCACCCGCAAGCUUUCUUGUCAUUCGAAUCCAUUCCAUUUCUGUUGCAAUUCGAUAUCCCCCCAAAUGCAACUCAGAACUUUCGGUAUCUUAUUAGCCACACUUGAUGCUAUCUUUUAUGGGACAAGAUAAUGAAUGGCAUGUCGAUGUUAAUUUAGGCAUUGACCGCACAAUAUCAUGAGGCAAAUAAACAACAAAUUUCAAUCACAACAUUGAGCUAAUUCACAAAAUCUUGGACAAAGCUAACCAUUCCACAUCCCAUUUUCCUCACCUUCCCCACUUCUCGGACACAGCAAAAUCUUCAAUGUCAAAGAGAUAUUUAUGCAUUGCUUCUUGUGAAAUUUCUCGAAAGAAGUUCUGCUUAAGGGCCUGAGUAGGUAAUUGGGCUUUUAGGGUGUUUUAUCUUGUUCCAAGUACUGGCCCUCUAUGUAAGCCCAAUGUCGUUCUCUCCGACCGCCAAAUUCUGCAGCAAUUAUGAAUUUCAUCCAUCUAAGCAGGGGAAAAAGAAAAUAUCCAACUCCCUUCUUCUGACGAUUUUCAUUUGGACAUGGCUUGGAGCUGCUUCUCAUGUACUGCUUCAAUUCCUGUGCAACCCCAAGUGAAUUUCAGACCCAGUAACCAGAAAUGCCUUCAGGACGUCAGAAACAUGGUGAAAUCGCUCGGAAUCCACUCAAUCAGGUCUUCUCCCGUCGAUUCUCUCAAGAAUGGAAACUGGGUCAAGCUUAUUUGCGGUGCUAGUUUCGAGGAUGUAGUUGACAUCAGGAAUCUUUCUCUGGUUUACACUUUAGCUGGAGUGGACUGCAUUGACUGUGCUGCCGAUGAAUCAGUGGUGAAUGCAGUGAACCAGGGGAUUGAGGCGGCGAGAGAAAUCGUGGAGGUUGGGAGGCCUUGGGUGAUGAUAAGUGUUAAUGAUGACGAGGAUCUUCACUUUCGCAAAGCUGAGUUUGAUCCAGCCGAUUGCCCCCAAGACUGCUCAAGGCCUUGUGAGAUUGUAUGUCCUGCUAAUGCAAUAUCACUAGAGAAAGAAAAUCCUCAGCAGGCCAUCUUUGGAAUACCAGUGAUGAGGGGUGGUGUUUUGACUGAGCGAUGUUAUGGUUGUGGGCGAUGCAUUCCAGUUUGCCCAUAUGAUAAAAUAAGCGUGCAUACAUACGUAAGAGAUGCUGCUGCUACUUCUGAGCUUUUGAGAAGAGAUGACAUUGAUGCUUUAGAAAUACAUACAAGCGGAAGGCAAACUUUGCACUUUAAGUCACUUUGGGAUGGUUUGGGAGACGCGAUCAACCAUCUGAGAUUAGUUGCGGUUAGCUUUCCCGAUGUUGGGGAUUCAUCCAUCUCCACAAUGAAUGCCAUGUAUUCAAUCAUGGAACCUGGCCUACGUUGCUUUAAUUUGUGGCAGUUGGAUGGCCGUCCUAUGAGUGGGGAUAUCGGACGUGGAGCCACAAGGGAAUCUAUCACCUUUGCUGUUCGUCUGGCUGCUGCGAGUGACAGACCUAGGGGUUUUCUUCAAUUGGCGGGCGGCACCAAUGCUCAUACGGUUGCUGGACUAAAGAAACACGGGCUUUUCCAAACUAAAUCUGUUUCUGACGAGAAUUUCAAGGAUGGGCAAUCAACAGUUGGAUCGCUCAGGCCAUUGGAUGCUUCUAUUGGAGGCAUAGCAUAUGGAGGGUAUGCUCGCAAGGUCGUCGGGAGGAUUCUCAGCUCUAUGCAGUCACAGCAUGAACUGACUUGUAUAGAAGAAUCUCCAGAUUAUCUCUUGAAGGCGCUAGCGGAGGCACUUGCUUUAGUUGGAACCGUCAAAUGCUACGAAAUCCCUUCUUAGACAGCAUUAAAUGUGCAACUUGUGUCUCAAAUUUCAGUAGCUCCUAUUGCCCUUUGGAUUUUCAAUCUGAAAAUUUACUGGUUUGAGUUCUUUGUUUACUUUCUCAUGGAUUAUGGUUCCUUCUCUCACGCCAAACAAGCGACACAAGAAAAUGUCCAUUUAUGU